UACGUAGGGUGCAAGCGUUAUCCGGAAUCACUGGGCGUAAAGCGUGCGUAGGUGGCGUGUUAAGUGUGAUGUUAAAUCGUGUGGCUCAACCAUAUCGAUGUGUCGCAUACUGGCAUGCUAGAGGACAGCAGAGGCAAGUGGAAUUUGUAGUGUAGCAGUGAAAUGCGUAGAUAUUACAAGGAACACCAAUGGCGAAGGCAGCUUGCUGGGCUACUCCUGACACUGAGGUACGAAAGCGUGGGGGAGCGAACAGG
rnacentral:rRNA from 1 species